GAUGAACGCUGGCGGCGUGCUUAACACAUGCAAGUCGAACGGAAAGGCCCAAGCUUACUUGGGUACUCGAGUGGCGAACGGGUGAGUAACACGUGGGUGAUCUGCCCUGCACUUCGGGAUAAGCCUGGGAAACUGGGUCUAAUACCGGAUAGGACCACUUCUUGGAUGUUGUGGUGGAAAGUUUUUUCGGUGUGGGAUGAGCUCGCGGCCUAUCAGCUUGUUGGUGGGGUAAUGGCCUACCAAGGCGUCGACGGGUAGCCGGCCUGAGAGGGUGUACGGCCACAUUGGGACUGAGAUACGGCCCAGACGCCUACGGGAGGCAGCAGGGGGGAAUAUUGCACAAUGGGCGCAAGCCGGAUGCAGCGACGCCGCGGGGGGGAUGACGGCCUUCGGGUUGUAAACUCCUUUCGCUAGGGACGAAGCGUUUUGUGACGGUACCUGGAGAAGAAGCACCGGCUAACUACGUG
rnacentral:rRNA from 1 species